GAUCCUGGCUCAGGAUGAACGCUAGCGACAGGCUUAACACAUGCAAGUCGAGGGGCAGCGGGGGAGUAGCAAUACUUCGCCGGCGACCGGCGCACGGGUGAGUAACACGUGUGCAACCAACCCCGUACCGGGAGAUAACCCGCGGAAACGUGGACUAACAUCCCAUAAGACUCUAGAGCCGCAUGGCUUUGGAUUUAAAAUUCCGGUGGUACGGGACGGGCACGCGCGACAUUAGGUAGUUGGCGGGGUAACGGCCCACCAAGCCGACG
rnacentral:rRNA from 1 species